GAGCUUAACUGUGAAGUGCUUGCAGAAACUAUUGAUCUUUUUAGAACUAAUUUUCUUAUUACUCUGAAAAGUUUUUAUUAUUUUUUGAAUGUAUCUAUGGUUUUCAAAUGUUUCAUAUUUUAAUCUUGCCCACGACUAGAAAUAUUAAAUUUAGCAUUUUUAUUGCAUUCUCGUGUGUUCAGCAUCUCGAUUUAUUAUUAUUAUUAUUUUUUAAUUAUUUUACUUCUAUUUAGUAUAUAGUAUUUAGUUUUUGGCAAUUUACUUUUCAGUUAAAUUUUUAUGAAAUAUUUUUGAUAAGUAAUAGUUCAUUUCGACCAAGCCUUAACUGCAGUUUAUGCCUAUUGGAAAAAGGAGAUUACAACUUGAAGAGAGUGAUUGCGCAUAUUCAGUACAAGCCAAUGAGCAUGAAAAAGCAAAAAGUUAGAAAAAAAACAUGCCGAUGUUAAAAUUCUUACCCCUGGGCGCUUAAAUGCAGUAAGGCUUUGAGUGGAAAUGGGCUAUAAAAAACAAUUUAAGUAUUAAGUUCAAAUAUUUUAAUUUUUCAAAUAAGUAGCUGUUAAUUGAAUUUAUUUAAACUCAAAAUAUUUAGUAAUGUUUUAAGCACCAUUCUAUGUUCAGUUUACGAAUAGAGAACAACUUAUUGGGAUCUUCAAAAUGUUUAAAUUUGUCCCCAAUCCUGGACAUUGGAAGAGAAAAUACUCGCCGCUUUAAAUUUUAUUUUCAUCUAGGCAGUUGUGACUGAAGUCGUUUGUCAGAAAGCCCUUUCUUCGUGCGUGUAUCCUAUUAGGCAAUGUCCAGUGAUGAUUCCAACAACCAUACUAAGUUCAGGCUGUUCCAGGAGAUUGAAGGUGCUGGACUUACAUGUAGGCUGUAUAGACCAACUUCUGUUUGCCAGUACCAGGAAGUAGGUUUUAAGAAUGAAAGCGUAUAUCCGCUUCAUAUCUGACCCACUGUGGCCGUGUCUUCGAACCCAAGUCAUACUUGCAGUGUGCAGGCAGCUCGUUUAGAAUUUGUAUGUAUGUACAUAUGUCAAUAUUCGAUAGUUGUGUAUUUCAGAGGAAGUGAAGUACUUAGUAUUAUAUAUCUUUAGCGUCUUGAUUGUCCGCGAAUAUCUUUACUUCUGGCAGGUUAACAUUAGCCCUGAUUAACCACUGCGCGACUUCCUUAAUACCUGUCAGCUCGGCUUCAAUCACUUUGCAGUAAUCGGGCAAUCGAGAGCAUAGUUUAAGUAAAAUUUCCCGGUAGUAAAUACCAAUUUCUACUCUCUGCCCCAGAUUGGAGUCGUCGGUGUAUAUGACAGUAUAGUCUAACUCUUCCAUAAACUUCAUGACUGUAGCUUCUUCCUAUUUCUUUCUGUCUGGAAACUAGAAUUUAGCAAGUCAGAUGUCUAAAAUUGUUGAGCGACAAGGCCCCCCGGCCAGAACUAUAACACCGUGC